rnacentral:misc_RNA from 1 species
CGAAUAACCUGUUGAACUUCAACGAGAGAUGCCUCACUAGGGCCAGCGGCGCCUCGGCACACACACACACACACACAAACAAACACACACAAGACACUCCACACAAGCCCGCUUACCUUCUCUCGCUGCUGAUUCAUUUGCGCCUCGCUUUUCUCGUGUUGCUUUCUUUGUUAUGUUCUCGCGUCUAAGCGCAGACAAAAACAACACGCUGUAGAAGACAGCACGUCCGCUUACUGGGCUUCCCCCUCCACCGCCGUUUUCCUCUCUCCUCUUGCUCGUAUGCGGUGGCGCUGCUGUGCAACGCAAUGGACCCCACCAGCUCUUCCGCAGCGCUGGCGGAGAAACGUGAGUUGCCGGAGCAGGAGGUGCUGGAGUGGCUGAUCCGCCGCGGGUUCGCCCGCGCCCACGCCGCGCUGGUGGCGGAAACCUCAUCGCAGGCGCUGACGAAUAAUGACUCCCCUGCCAGGCAGCGCCUUAUGCGCGACGGUGCCGAAGAGGUGACGACAAAUGGAGCGAUUCCGACGUCCGCUGAGCUUCAGGCGGCGCUGCGCGACAGUGUCGUGGAGGCCCUGUCCGCAUACAGGGACUUAGCGCGCGACGACAACGUGCUCACCCUGCUAGAACGUUGGGACCCUCAGAUUUGCUCUCUUUAUGUGGAGCGGGCCGCGCAGCGUAGCGAGGAGAACCGCAGCAGCCUAGAGAGGCGGGCUCAGGCGGCCGAGAAAUCCAACGCGCAGCUCCGCACCCGCGAGCGCGAGCUGGACGCGCAGUUGAAGCAGACUGUAGGAAUCAUUGCGGAGCGCCUGCAGACUUUGGCCAGCUCGUUGGAUCCGAUGCGCAAGGAUAUUCUUCUUCCGCUGCUUCGUACUGUGGCGGUGCUGGGCUCAUCCGGUACUGUGCGCGCUGCUGCGCGGCACAUGAUGCUAACUCUCUACAAGCGGCCGAUGAUGGAGCAUCGAAUGACCAUCGUGCAGGAGUGGCUGCGCGUGGCUCAGGAGGCACCAUCGCGAACGCUGGAGCAGGAGCUGAUUCCAGAGCUGUACACCCUCGUCAACGCACAGGCGUUUGAGCGACGGUUGCUGGCCCUCGACUGCGCCGCUGCUGUGGCGCCGCUGUUGCGACACUCUCCGCAGGUGCGUUACUCGCUGUGCCAGGGAUUGCUGCGGCCAUUGUGCGAGGAUGACACGUCCGCGGUACGCCGCGAGCUGCCACGCUGUCUCUCCUUGCUUUGGGGUGACGCCACGACCACCGGCACCACGGCCACCAUGAACUCGUCUGCGUCGACAGGCGCCAUGCUGAGAUCAAGCCUUGGGGGCGGACUACCGUCGGAGACAACCACCGUGCAUUCAUCCACACCGCAUACAUCUGUGGAGGGCUUGCCUGAUGCCUGCACCGCGUCCAUGUCACCAACGCAGCAGACGUUUUUCAUGGAGCUUCUGGUGCACUUGGCGACUGACAGCAACAGCCGAACGGUGCGCCAGGCGGCGCAGACGCAGUUGUGCGAGGUGCUUUAUCCGGUUUUUCUCCGGGACGGCGUGCUGCUAACGCAAUUCGUGCCUCUGCUGCUGACUGUGAUGGAGAUGGAGGCAACGCAGUGGCUGCUGCGAAAGGGACCAGACAAAGGCAGCAGCAGCGCUGCUGCUUUAGGUACUGCCAACGCGGCCCCCAUCGGGGAAAGGCAGAAGGGCCCCACGGACGAAUCCAGCGCGUCUGCGGCGGCGGCACUGUCUCUCAGCAACGUCAUGACACUCAUCCAGCUUCUUCACGCGGCCCUUCGCUGCGUCGCCGCAGAGUUGCUGCACAGUCGUGAGGCCGAGGGCCGCCGUGAUCGCUGCGAGGCCAGUGAUGGCUCGAAAACCUCGUCUUCACUGUCGUCCGCCUAUGCGCGUGUUGUGCUUCCCAUCGCGUACAAUCUGCUCUCUAACCUCCUAUCCAAGGUCCAUCUCGCGUCACUGACCGCAGAUGGGGAAGGUGGUGCGCCGAGCGGCAGCGAUGCAAGUACCCGCUUGUGCGGCCCGCUGUGCGCGCUGUGUGCUACACUCGCAUCGUUGGUACCGCUACUUGGUUCGCAGGUGUGGCAGGAAGUGGCGCACUAUUUGAAAGGGCCGCUCGCUUCUGGCUCUCGGCAUGACGUUGAGGCUGCCGCCGUAAGCGAGGACACUUCCGAAAUGACAGCAGCGCGGCCGACACCACCACCGCUACAGCCUCUCCCGCCGCAAAGCCCGGUGGGUGCCUCGCUGACUCAGCAGGAUCUGGAGAGGGGGCAGCUGCUCUUUGUGUUUUCCUUCUUCCUCUUCCUCUGCGGCGACGCCGUGACGCUGCCGAAAGGUGGAACAGAUGCCAGCGCGGCCGACGACGCUAAAGCGCCGGGGCGGCAGAGGCAGACCACCGACAUGGACGCUUUCACCCCUUCCACGGCGCCGCCUUCCGAGUCGCUCACCCCCGAGCGCAUCCGGGGGGAGAGUCUCCGCUUUGUCGCUUGGAGCAUCUCGCUCGAAAGCGAGGACGUCCGCUGCCCCCGCUCUGCGCCUCUCAUGGCGUGCAUCCGGUGCGUGGCAGCCUUGACUCCCUUGGCGAUGGAGAGCCACGAGGUGGCGUCUGGCAUUUCAGGACUGGUGAAGUUCCUUGUGGCCUCGCCAGAGGUGCGGCAGCGAUUGACGGCUGUGGUGCUGGCCCACGACACCUGCGCUGUGCUUGCAAGCGAGCGCCUCAAAGUAGCGUUGCUGGUUGAGCCUCUGUUGCCCCUUCUCGAGGACCCGCAGCCAGCUGUGCAAGAGGCCGCCUUGUCUGGAGUCCUGUCCGUUUCAGUUGCCCUGACCGAGCCGCGAGCGCAAGAGAAGGCCAUUCGACCCGUGCUGCGUGUGGCGGACGCUACCGGAUGUACCUCGCGUUUCACUCGCUGUCUGCUACAGCAGUUCUAUCAGCUGAUGCAGCGCAUGCCGGCCGAGCCGCGCGAGGCGCUUCUCUACCCGCAGCUCUCCCUACUCAUGGACUGUCUCGCCGAGCAGUGCGUGGAGCGGGUAUCCCAGGAGAGCUUUAGUGCCGCGCCGGCGGCAGCGACGCCGUCGUCGUCCCUGGUAUCGACGGCAGCGGGUGCACGAAUCGCCCCACAGGGGCGUGCCGGCAGUGAGCAGCGCGACCUGGGUGAGCAUGACUGGGAGGAUACGAUGCUCGUGCUUCACGCGCUGCUGAACAGCAUCGUGAAGUGCGCUGUAGUGACUCCGACACUCGUCUAUCGGCACCUCCUGCCCGGCAUCCAGCAACUGUCCAGCGACGGUAUCUUGUCUGCAUGCAGCCCGUCACUGCGGUCACGCUGGCUGCGCCUGCAGAAGAACUACCAAGUCUUUAUGGAAAACAACAACGCCAGCCGGCUCGCUUUGAGCGGUGCCGCCUCGGCUGGCGGAAAACCGAAGGUCGGUACAUUGCUGGAUCGCUUUAAGGAUGAGCUGAGGCGGCGACUGUGAGCCAAAACC